UCCUGUCAAAUGAGACAGUCAACAUGCGGAGUCAUCUUCUGUGGUUCCUGCUCUUCUUCCUACUGGGGGUUAAUGACAUGUCUACGGUACUGCCAGCUUCAGGAGCCAACAAAGAAGACUACGUCAUCUACUGCAUAGGACGGUUCUACUUUCAGGUGUGUAUGCUGUGUUCUGUGGGGUACCACCUGUUCUCCUGCCACCUCUCAGAGAAGAAGUGCUGCCACUGGACUACGUUGGAACCUUGGCUGUUACGUUCCAGGGGUCUUGUAUGUCUUCCACUGCGUCGCUGUGUCUUAGACAAUACAUUCCAUCAUUUGUUGUAUUUUUCACUCGUACCGUUUGUUUCAGUAAAGAUAACUUUUUAUAACACAUGCAAUCUGACACUGUAAACAUAACUACGCAAACUGGCUCUGAAAUUAAAUCUCUUCUCCUCCCGACAUCUUUUCCCAUAACGUAUCUUCUACCCUCCCUCUACUCUAAAGUUCUGGAGACAGGUGUGCCUGGUGAUUGUUAUAGCGUUGAUAUUGGCCGUGUUCUUGGCUCAGAUCCACCUUCACUACCACUCUAAGGAGUGGCGACACCAGCGUACUGCCAUCCUCGGCUCAGUGGCCGUCCACGGGGUCAUCCCAGCCGUCCACGGGGUCAUCCCAGCCGUCCACGGGGUCAUCCCAGCCGUCCACUGGAUCUGGCUCAAUGGAAGCUUCAGCUCUGCUGUCGUCCAGAUGAGUCAUCAGAUACCUGAAUUACAAUAUUGGUUGUUCCUGCCUCGUGAUGGUGAUGUACUUGAUAGCUGGAGCCGAGUUCCUCUUUUACGUCGGUAAAAUCUACACUUCUCAUAGCAAAUAACCACUUACAUGUGUCAUUCUGCAACUUGUCUUGCUCAAACUGAUACCGUCAAACGCGCUGAAAAUGUCAAGUGACCUUGUGAUGCUCCUUGACCUACAGGCCAGCUGAACUACCUGGGUGCCAGUCACCAGGUGUGACAUGUCCUGGUGGUGUUUAUGCUCUGCUCGUGGCACCAGACUUCUGUGUAUUUAAUGAACUUCAGGCACAACCAGCCCUGCUCCCUUAUCUACACCAGCAGCAGCUAGAGCCUCAGACUGGCCCAGCCAACAACCGAGCAGCCACAGACUCUACUGUAGCCACUCAAUGUAAACCAGACGACAACUGAACCUUUAACGUAAUGUAACAAAAUGUGGAAAAAGUCAAGGGGUCUGAAUACUUUCCGAAUGCACUUUAUAUACUAAA